UCAUAUUUUCUGUAAACUGCUGCCUAGGCUUUAAAACCUUUCAGAAGUUCACUAGUCUAGCAUUUGGCUUUUAGGUAGCAUUUUCCUGAGGCAUUCAAGGCUCAGUACAAUUCUCACCACAUUUACCUAUGAAUGAAUCUAGAAAAGCAAAUUGUCUGCUUUAGCCAGUCUUUUUUUUUUUUUUUCCUGGAGCCUCUCUUAGAUUUUUCCCAAGACAUUGUCCCCCAUAUGUCAUUUUUGACCAUGUUUUCAUAUAUCUCAAAGAGAAGAGAAAUGCAUACUCUCUCACUUCUAACUUACUUUCUCCAUCUUCACUGAUUUUUUUUUUUUGCUUUAUGUACAAGGGAAGAAAAAAAUAGGAUGUGGAAAAACAGAAAGUCUAAAGUAUAAGGAAAAUGGCCAUAGACAUUAUUUUGGAGAAAACUAAUUUCCCUUUGCAAGUGGACAUCAGUUGUAAAUAGCUAGUUGGUGGGAGCCACUAUGCAUUUCUCUGUCUAAGCACUGGGCACCCAUCUGGCUUGAACCUGUGUAGUCUUGUGCAUAUGUUAACCCCAGCUCAGGCUAGGCCCUAUGCCCAGGAGUAGGUGGAAAACACAAAACAUAAUUUUGGUACUUUUAUGGAUGAUUGGUCUUAUAUUGUUUUAUUUGUACAUUUUUUGUCUUAUUGGUCUUUGCUUGGAUAUUUUGGUUAUGAUCUUUUUUCCAUUUUUUUAUGAUUUUACUUGUGUUUUAGAGAGAGAGAUGAAAGGCAUGAAGUAAGGGAGAUAGGGAGAAUCUGGGAAGAGUUGGGGGAGGGGAAUAUAUGAUCAGAAUAUAUUGUUAGGAACUAAUUUCUUUCAAUUAAGAAAAAAAAAAUUUCCGGGGUAGUGGUUCAGUGUAUAAAAAUAGUGACUGAUUUUUCAGAGAACCCAGGUUCACUUUACAGUACCCACAUGGAAGGUCACAAUUGUCCAGUUCUAGAGUGUCUGACACCCUCGUGUAGCCUCUAGGGACAGGAGGCAUACCCCUGGUGCACAGGCAAAAACUUAUAAAGUAAUAAAAUAAACUGUAGUGUGUGUGUGUGUAUGUGUGUGUGUUAGAGAGAGAGAGAGAGAGAGGGAGAGAGAGAGAGAGACAAAGAGACACAGAGAGACACACACAGAGAGAAAGACACCCCCUCCCCCAGAAAAUGUUAUCUGGAUAGAAACACCUUUUGAUCUAACAGGAAGAUCCUGCAGGUCAUCAAACUGCCCCCUAGGAAGGAGACAAAAGAGCUCCAAUCUUAGGAUCCUUAAAGUUCCAAACAAGUGUUAAAGAAAAAUAGGUCAUGAAUUUGAAAGAGAGUAGGAAGUACAUGGGAGGUCUUGGAAUAAGGAAAUGGAAGGCUAUAUGGUAAUUUUCUAUUAUAAUCUCAAAAAGAACAAAACAAAA
rnacentral:lncRNA from 1 species